UUUUGAUAAUCGCUGUGGCGAGGUUGCGUUUCGGCCGCAACUCGGAGACUUGUGUGGCUCUAUCAAAGG
rnacentral:tRNA from 1 species